rnacentral:rRNA from 1 species
UACGUAGGGUGCAAGCGUUAAUCGGAAUUACUGGGCGUAAAGCGUGCGCAGGCGGUUGUGCAAGACCGAUGUGAAAUCCCCGGGCUCCAACCUGGGAAUUGCAUUUGUGACUGCACGGCUAGAGUGUGUCGAGAGGGGGGUAGAAUUCCACGUGUAGCAGUGAAAUGCGUAGAUAUCUGGAGGAACACCGGUGGCGAAGGCGGCAUCCCUGGGACCGGUAGUUGACGCUGAGGCGCGAAAGCCAGGGGAGCAAAGCGGGG